rnacentral:rRNA from 1 species
AUUGAACGCUGGCGGCAGGCCUAACACAUGCAAGUCGAACGAGUGGCGGAAGGGUGAGUAAUGUCUGGGAAACUGCCUGAUGGAGGGGGAUAACUACUGGAAACGGUAGCUAAUACCGCAUACCAUCAGAUGUGCCCAGAUGGGAUUAGCUAGUAGGGGGGGUAACGGCUCAACUAGGCGACGAGCCCUAGCUGGUCUGAGAGGAUGACCAGCCACACUGGAACUGAGACACGGUCCAGUCUCCUACGGUAGGCAGCAGUGGGGAAUAUUGCACAAUGGGCGCAAGCCUGAUGCCGCCAUGCCGCGUGUGUGAAGAAGGCCUUAGGGUUGUAAAGCCCUUUCAGCUGUGAGGCGUUACCCGCAGAAGAAGCACCGGCUAACUCCGUGCCAGCAGCCGCGGUAAUAC